rnacentral:lncRNA from 1 species
AACUUUUUAGGUCCUAAGUAGUUUUUAAUUUUUUCCCCACUACAUCUACUUCAUAAAUAAUUAUUCUGCACAGACACUUAUCAUUAUCAGUAAUGAUCAGUCAGGAACUCAGUGAAUUAAAAAAACUGUAUACUCAAUACAGUCCGAAUAUGACGUCUCUUUCAGGAGUUUUACAGAACUAAAGAUGACCAUUUCCCUCAUUUGACUUCAUACAGAUAACUGUGGUUUAAGCAGGUAAAUACUACCCCCAUUUUUGUAGAUUUUAAUUAACUUUUCUACACUAUGGGAAUGCUGUGCUUCAUUCAUCAUUUAAAAAUCCAAGUUUUAAGAUCAGACAUCAGGCAAGGAUAAAUUGCUUCUUUGUGUUCUACCCAUCAUAAGUCAGCAAUGAGUAAUGCAAUAGGGUGGGAGCAUACUAUAAUGGCCCCAACAUAGCUUCACAGAGGUGAAGCAGAAGUCAUCUCACCCCUCCCACAUCCCAGGUGCUUCCUCAUACAUCCUCUUUAUCUUCUUCAUCUCUCUUCUAUUAGUGUCCCUAUUCUAUUAGUUCUAGUAGUGGCAUAAUAGCCACAGUGAAGAUACUUUCUCUACUUCUGAG